rnacentral:lncRNA from 1 species
UGGGAAUCUCAGAAGUCAGUGAUGAGUAUGUUGGAGGAUACACCCUCACUGCACUGACCCAAACACAGCCCACAAGCUACCUGAGCUGUCUCUUCAAUCUUUGCAGAUCUGAGGAAGAUUAAGCCAUGUUCAGCUGGCAAAAUACCCACCACCAGUCCUCGGAUCGAGGAACAUCCUCGUGUUACAAGAGCAAGAUGAACGAGAACCCAGGGUACAGUUCUGUUUUUGCGUGCAAGGAGCUCUUGUGUUUGCAAGUGGCCCUUUUCCUUGGCUGUGGAGCAGAAGCCAGCUUUCGCCCACUGAUCUGUGGGACAUGUGCUUGGAGGCUGGGAGAGCAGCCGUCUCAUGAUACCCAUGAAGAAUGGGGAUGCAGAGGUGAUAAAGGGCACCAAAGCCAGGAAGAAGAAGUUUUAUUUUGGGAGAAUCUACUGCUCAGUAUUGUG